rnacentral:rRNA from 1 species
UACGGGGGGGGCAAGCGUUGUUCGGAAUUACUGGGCGUAAAGGGCUCGUAGGCGGCCAACUAAGUCAGACGUGAAAUCCCUCGGCUUAACCGGGGAAUUGCGUCUGAUACUGGAUGGCUGGAGUUUGGGAGAGGGAUGCGGAAUUCCAGGUGUAGCGGUGAAAUGCGUAGAUAUCUGGAGGAACACCGGUGGCGAAGGCGGCAUCCUGGACCAAUACUGACGCUGAGGAGCGAAAGCCAGGGGAGCAAACGGG